rnacentral:rRNA from 1 species
GACGAACGCUGGCGGCGUGCUUAACACAUGCAAGUCGAACGGAAAGGCCCCUUUGGGGGUACUCGAGUGGCGAACGGGUGAGUAACACGUGAGUAACCUGCCCUUGACUUCGGGUUAACUUCAGGAAACUGGGGCUAAUACCGGAUAGGAAUCCUUGCUGCAUGGUGGGGGUUGGAAAGCUUCGGCGGUUUUGGAUGGACUCGCGGCUUAUCAGCUUGUUGGUGGGGUAGUGGCUUACCAAGGCUUUGACGGGUAGCCGGCCUGAGAGGGCGACCUGCCACAUUGGGACUGAGAGACGGCGCAGACUCCGACGGGAGGCAGCGGUGGGGAAUAUUGCCCAAUGGGCGGAAGCCCGAUGCAGCGACGCCGCGUGCGGGAUGACGGCCUUCGGGUGUGAAACCGCUUUCAGCAGGGGAGAAGCUUGUGGUGACGGUACCUGCCGAAGAAGCACCGGCUAACUACGUG